GGUCAAAGCCCCAUCUAUCAGCCUUCCUACCUCCAAAGGGUCACACCUUUAUUGUGUUCUGAUGGCUCUCUGAGUUCCUCACCCCUCUGCUUUCUUUCCUAAUGAGUAGUUGGCAUAGCUAAUCCUGCUAUGUAACUGCUUUCCAGAAGGAUUUGGAUAAACAUAGGGGUCAUGUGAUGACUUACAGUCUGUGAGUAGUCCCUCCCUUCACCCCACCCCCACCCCACCCCCGUCCUAACUUGGUACAAACUUCUCUCCUAGACUCUUGAAAUGCUUUCCCCAGUGACCUCUCCACCUCUCCCCUGCUUCCUUCCAGCCUUCCCCGCCCCUGACACCAGCCACCCUGAUGGUUUUAGAGCACAAACUUGAUUUUUUUUUUGUCUUUGUUUUCUUGCUUCAAUGUGUUAUAGUCCUGAGUUGUCCUCUGAAUAAAGUUCCAGCUCUUUGCUGGUCACAGCAGCAGCCCCGUAAUUCUAAUUAGAGAGCUCUAGCUGUCCAGCUACCAUCGUCCCAAGCGUGUGUAUGUGUUAGUUCACUUAGCCCAAGGAGUUCCAAACAAUUGGUGAUGUUGGAAGGUGCUAAUAGUGGUCUCCCACUUUUUCCCCUUUCUUUUUCUUCUUUUUCUUUCUUCGUUAUAUUCAUACCCCUUACACUUUCCACACGAGGAAAUUGUGACACAGAGAAGUGAAAUAACCUAUCCAAGAUAACUAGGUUAGUAAUAAUGGUCUCAGGAGUUUGUUAUCUAGUUAGUGCUAGGAUGGAACCCUAAGUUUUACAUGUGCUGAGCAUGUAUUCUACCAUUGAAUCAUCCCUCAACUCUGGAGCCAGGAUUUAAAACUAGUCUAACCAUAGUGUUCAAUGCUUAGCUGCUUAACACAUACCUUCCUAUAACGUUAUAUGAACUGAGCAGGCUUUAUCUAUGCAUUUAAUUGUGUAUGUGUGUGAUGUGUGUGCAUGUAUAUAACAACUAAAGAAAAAGAGAUCAAGAAUUUGAGAAAGAACAAGAGUACAUGGGAGGGGUUAGACAGAGGAAAGGAAAGGGGUAGAUUAUGUAAUUAUAAUGUCAAACUAAAAAUUAUUACAAUAAAAUUAGUAGAUAAAUAAAAAUAUACCUCUCUGCUCAUAGAUAUAAUACAGAAUCCAAGUACUUAAAAUAAAUGUAUUUAUCAUUAAUAAAUAAAAAACUGGCAUGUAUUUUCCAUAAUUGCUAUUUGGCUUUUGAUUUUAUAAUUGAUUUGUUUUACAGAACUUUAGAUAUGUAGAUAGAAUAUAGUUAACAGAAGUUUAAUAGGGUUUGUGAAGGAACUUCCUAAAUUCCAUGUAUGACAGAUAUUGGCAAAGGCAGAGAAGCUGGAAACAUUUAUUCCCUAAGGGGACCCAGAAAACAGAUCUUUCAUAAGUCAACAAGUCCAGUGACACUUAGGUCAUAGCUAAUGGAAUCAGAGCUUGUCCCCAAAUGUUGUCCCUUAGUGUGAUGUGAAAGGUCCCUCAUGAUCAUUAGAGCCACACCCUACCUUUUUAUUUUAUUUAUUUAUUUAUGUAUUUAUUCUUUUUUGAGACAGGGUUUCUCUGUGUAGCCCUGGUUGUCCUGGAACUCACUCUGUAGACCAGGCUGGCCUCGAACUCAGAAAUCCUCCUGCCCCUGCCUCCUGAGUGCUGGGAUUAAAGGCGUGUGCCACCACGCCUGGCUCCUACCUUUUUAAACACCAGGACACUGUCAAGGAUCACAUGGAAUCGCCCGAAAGAAUUUUUUAUUUGUAUCGCUCCAAACGUUAGUUCUGGGAAGUCCUUGAUGGUGUCAUAGAAUAAUUCUGCCACUUCUUCCUCUAAAUCCUGUUUGGGAAAGACCAUUCUAUGAUUAUCUGGAGGAGAGAGCAGUGCCUAGCUUAUUUGAGGGGAAGGUAGAGAGAAUACUCCAUCUACGCCUUUGUUUUCCUAAGUCCUGGGUUUUGCUAGGUGGUCUGUCUCCGUUUUUAUGGAAGUUUCCCACCUAGGAUGAUUCUCUAGCUAUGACUGAACCCCACACAGCAAAUUCUCGCCAAUCAAUGACCAUAACUGAGUCUCUUCCUAUUAUUAAAAGUUGUUCUAACCCACGAUUUGAGAGUGUUUUUAAAAUCAAUUCCUGAAUCACCUUCAGAGGAAGUGAUUCGGUUUGACUGUGCACAGCAGCAAAUGUGAACUGGUAUCGAGAUGCAGCUGCACUUCUGGCCUUCGAGGUUCAGCACUCAGCAUGAGAGAAUAUUUGGGGCAAGAAUCCUCUUGGGGAAGCAGAAAGGGAAGAGCUCUGCCUUCUCCUCGUAUAAAUAUGAUAGCAAAGACUGAUGUCUACAGAGAGACGGAGAACUGUCCGGUCCAGAGUAAAUCAAUUAAGGCACAUGAAAAACUCAUUUUCUACAAGAAAACAUUCUUGGUAACAUUUAUAACUUUACAGAAUAAAAUCAAUAGGAAGUGACCAUAAGACAUUUCGUAGUCGCGUUUAAAUUAUUUAUAUGCUUUCCCAAGCGUCUUCCCCACUGGGUCCGGAUAAGGUUUGAUCCCUAGAGACUAGCUUAGCCUAAGCACAGUAGCAGGCACCUGUUAGAGUCAUAGUGAAAAUCAUCCCC
rnacentral:lncRNA from 1 species